UAAAAGACAAUCAUGCUUAUUUGUUUAAAUUUGAAGGAUAUAUACGUUAUUUGAAAAAUCAUUGUCCUCUAGGGUAAGAGGUAGAUUAUAGCUUAUUCUAGCCGAAGGAAUAGCUUCACAAGCUACUAGUCCAUCCAAAGGAGUCGACACUCGAAGAUGACAAGAAAUUCAAGAACGAAGGUCCUUCCAUUGAAGCAUAGUUUAAGAUUGUACCCCUGCGCGGGACUGAUUAUUUUGUAUCCCAUUUUCCCUACUAUGUAUCCCCAUUCAGUUUAUUAGCAUG
rnacentral:lncRNA from 1 species